CGGUGUCGUUUGGUUGUAGGUGAUACAUUUUCUCCUGACGAACAAUUGACCAAGCAAGAGUUUGGUUCUCUCUCGCUCGCUCUCUGCAACUCACAUGGAUUCCAAAGCUUCAACAACUGCCACUCCUCUACUGAACCAGGAAAAACCUAAUAAUCUUCCAUCAAAUCCCAAGAAGGAAAGAGACUUCCUGAACCACGUCGAAGCGUACCUCGCAAAGAGAGAUGGCGUGGACAAGCUCCUCAAGAUAUCCAGGUACGCCACCAAGAUCAUUCUCGCCUCAUCUGCUCUCCCCGAAACCCUAACCCUAACUCACCGCCUCAAGAGCUUCGAGUCGAGCGUAGGGGUGAGCCGCAAAGCCUUUAGGCUCGGCAAGUUCGUCCAGGACGUGAACGCUCUGAGAAACUCGAAUUUCGAUUUGAAUGAAGACCUCGUCCUCUCCCUUAUCGCCUACGGAGGCGAGGGCUUGUAUUUCUUCGUCGAGCAAUUCAUUUGGUUGGCCAAAUCUGGUUUGAUCGAUAGCAAACACUCGCGCAGUUUGCAAAAAAUCAGCGCUUGGGCCGAGUUCAUUGGGUACGUCGGUAGCAUUUCGUUGAAAUUUAGGGAUUUGAAUCGAAUUUCCGAAGAUGAAAAGUGCCUGAAAUCGAGCAUUGAGAUCGCAAUUACGAGGGGAAAUAAGUGCCAGGAAGAAAAGGAGAGAUUGAGUAAAUUGUGUGAAAAGAAAUUGAUGAAGAGGCUUUCUGUUGUUCAAGAUGCGGCCGACGCGUUAAUGGCAUUAGCUGAUAUUCGUGAUGGCGAUGGGCCGUUUUUGGGGCCGCUUUCGUUAUCAUUAGCCGGGAUGCUAUCGGCGAUAAUUAGCACUCACAAGAAUUGGGUGUCUUGCUGAGUUUCAUGUCCUUGUUACAAGUUGGGAUGGGAAUCGGACAAUGAAACUGGGACCCGCAAUCUCCAGUUCGCGGGCAUCAGCGGCUUACAUGCAAGCAACCUGCAAGCCAGCCCCGGUCCCCGGCACAACACAACACAACCUUGACCUUCUUCACGAGAUCAUAAAAGAGAGAGACAGAGAGACAGAGACACUCCUCUUUCCAGAUCUAAACACUCGUAAACGUCAUCGUUUCGAUGGCCCUUCACUAGAAACCUCCGAGACUCCCCA